GACGAACGCUGGCGGCGUGCCUAAUACAUGCAAGUUGAGCGCUGAAGGUUGGUACUUGUACCGACUGGAUGAGCAGCGAACGGGUGAGUAACGCGUGGGGAAUCUGCCUUUGAGCGGGGGACAACAUUUGGAAACGAAUGCUAAUACCGCAUAAAAACUUUAAACACAAGUUUUAAGUUUGAAAGAUGCAAUUGCAUCACUCAAAGAUGAUCCCGCGUUGUAUUAGCUAGUUGGUGAGGUAAAGGCUCACCAAGGCGAUGAUACAUAGCCGACCUGAGAGGGUGAUCGGCCAAAAUGGGACUGAGACACGGCCCAAACUCCUACGGGAGGCAGCAGUAGGGAAGCUUCGGCAAUGGACGAAAGUCUGACCGAGCAACGCCGCGUGAGUGAAGAAGGUUGUCGGAUCGUAAAACUCUGUUGGUAGAGAAGAACGUUGGUGAGAGUGGAAAGCUCAUCAAGUGACGGUAACUACCCAGAAAGGGACGGCUAACUACGUG
rnacentral:rRNA from 1 species